GAGUUUGAUCCUGGCUCAGGAUGAACGCUAGCGGCAGGCUUAAUACAUGCAAGUCGAACGGUAAGUAGUGUAGCAAUACAUUGCCUAGAGUGACGUACGGGUGCGUAACACGUAUGCAACCUACCCAAAACAGGCGGAUAGCUCGGGGAAACUCGAAUUAACCCGCCAUAAUAUAAUUGAAUGGCAUCAUUUGAUUAUUAAAACUCCGGUGGUUUUGGAUGGGCAUGCGUCUGAUUAGUUAGUUGGCGGGGUAACGGCCCACCAAGACGAUGAUCAGUAGGGGAACUGAGAGGUUGAUCCCCCACACUGGCACUGAGAUACGGGCCAGACUCCUACGGGAGGCAGCAGUAGGGAAUAUUGGUCAGUGGAUGCAAGUCUGAACCAGCCACGCCGCGUGCAGGAAGAAGGCCUUCUGGGUUGUAAACUGCUUUUACUAGGGGAUAAAAUGAGCGUGCGCGCUUAAUUGAAGGUACCUGGUGAAUAAGCCACGGCUAACUACGUGCCAGCAGCCGCGGUAAUACGUAGGUGGCAAGCGUUGUCCGGAUUUAUUGGGUUUAAAGGGUGCGUAGGCGGCCCUGUAAGUCAGUGGUGAAAUACUCCAGCUCAACUGGAGAGGUGCCAAUGAUACUGCAGGGCUUGAGUACAGAUGAGGUAGGUGGAAUUGACGGUGUAGCGGUGAAAAUGCAUAGAUAUCGUCAAGAACACCGAUAGCGAAGGCAGCUUACUGGGCUGUAACUGACGCUGAUGCACGAAAGUGUGGGGAUCAAACAGGAUUAGAUACCCCUGGUAGUCCCCACUGUAAACGUUGAUUACUCGCUGGUUUGCGAUACACAGCCAAGCGGCUUUACCGAAAGCGAU
rnacentral:rRNA from 1 species